AUUGAACGCUGGCGGCAGGCCUUACACAUGCAAGUCGAACGGCAGCACGGGAGCAAUCCUGGUGGCGAGUGGCGAACGGGUGAGUAAUAUAUCGGAACGUGCCCGGUCGUGGGGGAUAACGUAGCGAAAGCUACGCUAAUACCGCAUACGAUCUAUGGAUGAAAGCGGGGAUCGCAAGACCUCGCGCGAUUGGAGCGGCCGAUAUCAGAUUAGGUAGUUGGUGAGGUAAAGGCUCACCAAGCCGACGAUCUGUAGCUGGUCUGAGAGGACGACCAGCCACACUGGGACUGAGACACGGCCCAGACUCCUACGGGAGGCAGCAGUGGGGAAUUUUGGACAAUGGGCGCAAGCCUGAUCCAGCAAUGCCGCGUGCAGGAUGAAGGCCUUCGGGUUGUAAACUGCUUUUGUACGGAACGAAACGGUGAGCUCUAAUACAGUUUGCUAAUGACGGUACCGUAAGAAUAAGCACCGGCUAACUACGUG
rnacentral:rRNA from 1 species